rnacentral:rRNA from 1 species
CCAGACUCCUACGGGAGGCAGCAGUGGGGAAUAUUGCACAAUGGGGGAAACCCUGAUGCAGCGACGCCGCGUGAAGGACGAAGUAUUUCGGUACGUAAACUUCUAUCAGCAGGGAAGAAAAUGACGGUACCUGACCAAGAAGCCCCGGCUGACUACGUGCCAGCAGCCGCGGUAAUACGUAGGGAGCGAGCGUUAUCCGGAAUUAUUGGGUGUAAAGGGUGCGUAGACGGGAAAGCAAGUUAGUUGUGAAAUCCCUCGGCUUAACUGAGGAACUGCAACUAAAACUACUUUUCUUGAGUGCAGGAGAGGUAAGUGGAAUUCCUAGGGUAGCGGUGAAAUGCGUAGAUAUUAGGAGGAACACCAGUGGCGAAGGCGACUUACUGGACUGUAACUGACGUUGAGGCACGAAAGUGUGGGGAGCAAACAGGAUUAGAUACCCCGGUAG